rnacentral:rRNA from 1 species
CAGUAGCCGCGGUAAUACGAACCGUGCGAACGUUAUUCGGAAUUACUGGGCUUAAAGCGCGUGUAGGCGGGCCGCCACGUCGGUUGCUGAAAUCCCCCGGCUCAACCGGGGAAGUGGCAUCGAUACGAGCGGCCUUGAGGGGGGUAGGGGGAUCUGGAACUUCCGGUGGAGCGGUGAAAUGCGUUGAGAUCGGAAGGAACGCCCGUGGCGAAAGCGAGGUCCUGGACCCUUUCUGACGCUGAGACGCGAAAGCCAGGGGAGCAAAUGGGAUUAGAGACCCCAGUAGUCCCUGUCUCUUAUA